AUACUUCGAACGGUGGAUCACUCGGCUCGUGGGUCGAUGAAGAACGCAGCUAAAUGCGAGUCGUAGUGUGAACUGCAGGACACACGAACAUCGACGAUUCGAACGCACAUUGCGGUCCGGGAAACGCUACGGUCGUCCCGGGACCACGUCGGGCUGAGGGUCGUUU
rnacentral:rRNA from 1 species